rnacentral:rRNA from 1 species
GGUUAAGCGACUAAGCGUACACGGUGGAUGCCCUGGCAGUCAGAGGCGAUGAAGGACGUGCUAAUCUGCGAUAAGCGUCGGUAAGGUGAUAUGAACCGUUAUAACCGGCGAUUUCCGAAUGGGGAAACCCAGUGUGUUUCGACACACUAUCAUUAACUGAAUCCAUAGGUUAAUGAGGCGAACCGGGGGAACUGAAACAUCUAAGUACCCCGAGGAAAAGAAAUCAACCGAGAUUCCCCCAGUAGCGGCGAGCGAACGGGGAGCAGCCCAGAGCCUGAAUCAGUGUGUGUGUUAGUGGAAGCGUCUGGAAAGGCGCGCGAUACAGGGUGACAGCCCCGUACACAAAAAUGCACAUGCUGUGAGCUCGAUGAGUAGGGCGGGACACGUGGUAUCCUGUCUGAAUAUGGGGGGACCAUCCUCCAAGGCUAAAUACUCCUGACUGACCGAUAGUGAACCAGUACCGUGAGGGAAAGGCGAAAAGAACCCCGGCGAGGGGAGUGAAAAAGAACCUGAAACCGUGUACGUACAAGCAGUGGGAGCACGCUUAGGCGUGUGACUGCGUACCUUUUGUAUAAUGGGUCAGCGACUUAUAUUCUGUAGCAAGGUUAACCGAAUAGGGGAGCCGAAGGGAAACCGAGUCUUAACUGGGCGUUAAGUUGCAGGGUAUAGACCCGAAACCCGGUGAUCUAGCCAUGGGCAGGUUGAAGGUUGGGUAACACUAACUGGAGGACCGAACCGACUAAUGUUGAAAAAUUAGCGGAUGACUUGUGGCUGGGGGUGAAAGGCCAAUCAAACCGGGAGAUAGCUGGUUCUCCCCGAAAGCUAUUUAGGUAGCGCCUCGUGAAUUCAUCUCCGGGGGUAGAGCACUGUUUCGGCAAGGGGGUCAUCCCGACUUACCAACCCGAUGCAAACUGCGAAUACCGGAGAAUGUUAUCACGGGAGACACACGGCGGGUGCUAACGUCCGUCGUGAAGAGGGAAACAACCCAGACCGCCAGCUAAGGUCCCAAAGUCAUGGUUAAGUGGGAAACGAUGUGGGAAGGCCCAGACAGCCAGGAUGUUGGCUUAGAAGCAGCCAUCAUUUAAAGAAAGCGUAAUAGCUCACUGGUCGAGUCGGCCUGCGCGGAAGAUGUAACGGGGCUAAACCAUGCACCGAAGCUGCGGCAGCGACACUAUGUGUUGUUGGGUAGGGGAGCGUUCUGUAAGCCUGUGAAGGUGUACUGUGAGGUAUGCUGGAGGUAUCAGAAGUGCGAAUGCUGACAUAAGUAACGAUAAAGCGGGUGAAAAGCCCGCUCGCCGGAAGACCAAGGGUUCCUGUCCAACGUUAAUCGGGGCAGGGUGAGUCGACCCCUAAGGCGAGGCCGAAAGGCGUAGUCGAUGGGAAACAGGUUAAUAUUCCUGUACUUGGUGUUACUGCGAAGGGGGGACGGAGAAGGCUAUGUUGGCCGGGCGACGGUUGUCCCGGUUUAAGCGUGUAGGCUGGUUUUCCAGGCAAAUCCGGAAAAUCAAGGCUGAGGCGUGAUGACGAGGCACUACGGUGCUGAAGCAACAAAUGCCCUGCUUCCAGGAAAAGCCUCUAAGCAUCAGGUAACAUCAAAUCGUACCCCAAACCGACACAGGUGGUCAGGUAGAGAAUACCAAGGCGCUUGAGAGAACUCGGGUGAAGGAACUAGGCAAAAUGGUGCCGUAACUUCGGGAGAAGGCACGCUGAUAUGUAGGUGAAGUCCCUCGCGGAUGGAGCUGAAAUCAGUCGAAGAUACCAGCUGGCUGCAACUGUUUAUUAAAAACACAGCACUGUGCAAACACGAAAGUGGACGUAUACGGUGUGACGCCUGCCCGGUGCCGGAAGGUUAAUUGAUGGGGUUAGCCGCAAGGCGAAGCUCUUGAUCGAAGCCCCGGUAAACGGCGGCCGUAACUAUAACGGUCCUAAGGUAGCGAAAUUCCUUGUCGGGUAAGUUCCGACCUGCACGAAUGGCGUAAUGAUGGCCAGGCUGUCUCCACCCGAGACUCAGUGAAAUUGAACUCGCUGUGAAGAUGCAGUGUACCCGCGGCAAGACGGAAAGACCCCGUGAACCUUUACUAUAGCUUGACACUGAACAUUGAGCCUUGAUGUGUAGGAUAGGUGGGAGGCUUUGAAGUGUGGACGCCAGUCUGCAUGGAGCCGACCUUGAAAUACCACCCUUUAAUGUUUGAUGUUCUAACGUUGACCCGUAAUCCGGGUUGCGGACAGUGUCUGGUGGGUAGUUUGACUGGGGCGGUCUCCUCCUAAAGAGUAACGGAGGAGCACGAAGGUUGGCUAAUCCUGGUCGGACAUCAGGAGGUUAGUGCAAUGGCAUAAGCCAGCUUGACUGCGAGCGUGACGGCGCGAGCAGGUGCGAAAGCAGGUCAUAGUGAUCCGGUGGUUCUGAAUGGAAGGGCCAUCGCUCAACGGAUAAAAGGUACUCCGGGGAUAACAGGCUGAUACCGCCCAAGAGUUCAUAUCGACGGCGGUGUUUGGCACCUCGAUGUCGGCUCAUCACAUCCUGGGGCUGAAGUAGGUCCCAAGGGUAUGGCUGUUCGCCAUUUAAAGUGGUACGCGAGCUGGGUUUAGAACGUCGUGAGACAGUUCGGUCCCUAUCUGCCGUGGGCGCUGGAGAACUGAGGGGGGCUGCUCCUAGUACGAGAGGACCGGAGUGGACGCAUCACUGGUGUUCGGGUUGUCAUGCCAAUGGCACUGCCCGGUAGCUAAAUGCGGAAGAGAUAAGUGCUGAAAGCAUCUAAGCACGAAACUUGCC